GGAGAAUCAGAAGUCCAUAUCUCAGUGUGGUGCUGGUUGUCCCCGUUCCCGCAAGGAACAAGUCAAGUGUGGUUCUGGUCAAGGACUCAACAGUGAAAUAAGAGUUCUCUUUCUCCUGGAGGAAAAUGUGGCAGAAUUCUUUGAGUCCAAAUGUCCCUGUCCUGGAUAUGGAGGCUUGGCAGUGCAGUGUUAUUGACAGGAGAAGAGCAAAGCAGGUGGAUUCCUGUUGCAAUGACAGGAUGAGUUCUGUAUGGCAGUGUUACCUGGGACGCACCUGUGCUUUUGAAGACUUUCUCAAAAAGUGGCAGAUUGCCUCUCCCACUGAAGGCUUCUCCGUUAUCAAUUAGGGCUUCUUUCACAACGUCGUAGCCAUACAGCACCACCACCUUUUUGGGGCCUAAAUGUAUUGUGAAGAUAGGACCGUACUUUUUGCUGAGCUGCAGGAAGGAAGAACACAAGGAACAACACAUCUGGAUGUUAAUCAUGGAAAAAUAAAUUUGCAGCUUCGUAUGGAGGUUCUUUUUUUGUUUGUUUUUUUGUUUUUCCUCAGUAAGUAUUUGCAGAUUGUGCACCACAGUGACAGACAAAAGUUGUCUUCCCUUUUGCACCAAUCCCUAGACCAGCGUAACUUCAUCCUGGUGGGAGGCACGCCGUCACUCACACUGCAGAAGACUGGAGCAUGCUUUGGUUCAGCAGAAGCUCACCUUAGUCAGUGUUAAUGUUGUGUGAGAUGAGAACUGGGAAACACACUGACUCAAGCACAAUUAAUCUACAAGGGCUAACUGUGCUAGGCACACACCUCUGAGCCCUCCACAUGUACUAUGGAUUGAGGAACUAUUUUGCUCUUAUUACUUGGCAACGUGGGGCAGGUAAACAAAGGCUGAAAAGAAGAAAGAGAAGGAAGUUGUUGACAGUGACACUGGAAGAUCUACUAUUCCAUGACCUAGCGACCAGUGCAGCUCUGUUACGUGUCUCACAAUUGGGAAAACGCUAUGUGGCCACCAUGUUUCAUACCACUGUUACAACGUGUGCAUUUGCUGGGACUGUAUGUGUGUCCAGAACUUCCCAACAGGCCUGCUUUCUCAGCGUGACGGGGAUUUGCCCCCAGUGAGUCCUCAGGUGGUGAAUAAGAGCUCUGCUCAGAGUGUCUGGAAACCAAGUAAUUCCUCAACCCUUUCCCAUCCAUCUACCAUCAUUCCAUCACAGUCCCCUCGGGAACAGGCUCCACAGCCAAACUUACUCCACCUAUUCUCUCCCAGGCACUGCAACACAGGUGUUUUUUUUUUUUUUUUUUGACAGUUGCAUGACAGUAUCCAGGGAAGGGAACAGACAGCACCAUUUACCUUCAAACUCCUUCGAUUUGGCCCUUGUACUCACAACUUCCACUCCCAGGAGGUUAUACCUACAUGCCAGGGAGCAGAGGCAGCAAGAAAAUAGAGCAAGGUCCUCCCUAAAACAGGGCUGGGCCCUUUUUCCAGAGCAAUGAGGAGUUGGGCAUAAAAGGGUCGUGGUGGAUAUGGUAAAAGCAUCAGUACCUUGUCUAGAAAUUUAUUGCAAAUGGCAGUACGGAUGUAAGGCCAGUCCAGGUCUCAGCAUCAGUUCUGUUACUGCAAUAGCGUAAUACAUCAAAAGCAAAUGCGUAUCCAGAAGCAUUUCUGUUCAAGUCUGACAGCUGGUCAAACAAUAUUGGCAUUUUCUGGUGAAUUAAGAUGAGUGGAGACAACACAGGAAAGAAAGACACAGUCUUACCUCCUUAAAGCUUUCCAUCAAGUCCCAUGGGUUCAGCUGAAAAACAUUUCCAAUGAUGGGGAUUGGUGUGGGACCAGGAGGCUCCUUCCCUCUUCGCGAUGUACUUCUCCAUGCAGCAAUGAGAAAGCAUGAGAUACAGACCAGCAAGAGGAUUGUGGGCAAUCCCAGGAACUCCAUGGUGGGCAGAGGAAGAGAUGUCAAGUGUCAGAAGAGUCUGAACUGGGACCUGCAAACCUGAGGAUGACUCCUGCCAGCCCCUCCAACAGGUGCGCGCAGUGGAGGGAGCUGUGGACUGAAAUAAGAGCAUCAUUGCAAGGUUUUCUUAGGUAUUUCACCUCCACUCCUGGAAUGGAAUAAUAACGUUGUUCUGAGGUCAAGCAUGCAGAUUUCCAGGGAAGAAACUGCAUUUUUCCUGAUCUCUUUUAUUCAGUCCACAGUGUCCAUAGCAUUUGCCAGGAGAUUUGAAAAGUUAUCCACCAAGCACAGAGCCCUGUGGCAGCCUGUGGUCUCUUUCAGUGUGCGAUGUUUGAAUAAACUUUCUGAAUAUCCAGAGAAGAUGUAAAGACCUGUGGAAGUUAAUGGUAUUCUGAUCAGGGAGUGACAGAAUGAAAUAGCAAUUACUUAAGAGAACAGAAAAGCAUAGGUGAUCUAUUACACUUCUGAAUGCUCUUCCUCACGUGUACGUAGUAAGUAAACUUGAAACUAGAUCCAGUUUCUGAGAUUCAAAUUCUGAGACAAGAGUGUGUGUUUGAUGUGCUUUAGUGAGGAAAAAUACGUGCAUUAGGAGUGUGCUGCUGCAGCUGCCCCUGCUCCAACUGCUCUUGGGGCAGCCCCUAUGUAGGGACACACGAAAGCAAGAGACUGUAAUAGAGACAAAUCCGCAAGUUUGCCAGGACCUCUGGAAGGCAUUCCUUUACUUUCUGGCAGAUCAAGCAUGUAGAAGAGGAAAAUGGAUAUUAAAUGGGUCACUAUAACAUGUAAGAAGCCCAAGAGUACCAAAAAACAAAAACAACCUGUUGUGGUUUAACCCAUCAGGCAACUGAACGCCACACAGAUGUUUGCUUCUUCCCCCGAGGUAGGAUGAGGGAGGGAACUGGAAACAGAAUAGGACUUGUGGGUUGAGAUCAAAAGUAUUUACUGAGACAGAAGAUUACAAUAGAAACAAAAGUGUAAUGAUAACAAUAUGUACAGGUGCAAUGUAAUUACUCUCCUCUUGCUGACCUAUGUACGGCAAUAAUACAACUGCCUGCCAGUCGAUAGCCAUCAGCAACGCAAGGUCUCACUCAAAAAUUCACAAUGUCAGUGUUUGCCUUGCAAGACAAAGGCUUUGCCAUCACCAGAGGUAUUAAGAUUCAACGAUACAUUCAGCAUUCAACAAUUUACAAAACAUGCCUACUUGUAACAUGCCACGCAGGCAGUACUCAAGAUAAGACACAGACCUUGGCGUUAUUUUUCGGGUGACUUCAGAAAUGCCAUUUGACCAGCCAGCACAAAAAGUUUGGUUAAAUAUUUGUGUCUGAACUCCGAGGACCCAAAACACAACUCAGUUGACUCAGGACCAGGCCACUGACAUAACUGCUCUCCAGUCAUUUAGGGCGUACGACAGAUUGCUAUGUAUUGGCUCGGUCUCUGAAAGGGCAAGGAAGUUCAGGCCUUAUCACCUGUUGUGUGAUCUGUACGGUGACCUCAGCAGUAAAGCACUCUGUUGUUCCUGUUGCUGAUCAUCUUUGAAUAGAGCUUAGCUUUAAAUGAUAGUCAGGAUUAAAUGAGAAGAGGCCCUUCCCCAAGCCAGGCAGCGAAAGUCAGGAAUUGGGACAGUAAGUUGACAAGUGUGCAUGCCUUGCAAACAGUGCAUACCUUAUGUUGUGGUUUUGUGUUUUUUUGUGGCCGGUAUUCCACAUCAGAACACGAUGAAAAACAAUGGGAGUUCUGGUUCCGUUUACCGUCUUUUAUGGGCAUUUCGAGUCUUCAGGUGGAAGGGGAGGGGCGGCAUUCCCGGAGGACCUCGUGGGCAGAGGAGGAAAGGUGGAGAUCCUGGCAGUAGAGCAGCUGCCCUCCCGCUCUCUCUCGCUCGGUUUGCUGCGGAGAAAAGCACGCGUUUCCCCGUGCUGUCUACUAUAGUAAGCAUACUUCGUCUACUGUCUCGUAUUUCGGAUGCUCCUGUCUCUCUCGUUUUGUUUGAUUUGGUUAGAUGAAGUGAAUUACCGGUCGUCCUCUGAUCGUUGCCGUUGUGUUCCUGUUGUUAGAACCACCUGCCAGCUCUCCGCCCUUCCCCCUAUCCCGGAGCGCACCUUGCUGCGGGACCGGGGCCGGCCGGGUCGCACAGCAAGCUGCCGGUACCGCUUCCUUUCAGUUUAUUCUUCUUCGCUCUUUUGUGUUUCCAUUUUUGUUAUUUUCCGGGGCCUGUUCCCCCCCCUGUCACGGACUUAGAUCUAGAGAUAACUCGGUGACACCUUACAAGAGAGGUGAUGCUGGACAUGUUCACAACCUGACAGUAUAAAAUCUCAGAAAGGCUCUGUUCAGCUGAUCGAAACCGAGUGCAUGACACCAAUUGUGUCAUACAGGAGGUUAAGCGACGAAGAGCAAUAUAAAUGUACGUGCUUAAUUAACGUGGGAGGUGGAGAUGUUGGUGUCACAUCCUGGAAACAAAGCAAUGGAUACCAGAUCUGGUGAAAGCCAUUUGCUGAUAGUGGGUGCUUUUGGUCCUGAUGUGCAGAGCCUUUAUUAAGGUUAUAAUAACCUGGGCUUUGGGAUGACAACGAUGGGCAAUUUAAGGAAGCUGUCUCACGCAAAGUUAUUUGAUAGGUCAGUCACAGAAUAAGGUAGAAGCCUCCAUCGUCUGUAAUGCAGGCCCUGAGCUGUGCUGGAAGCCUUUGUUAUUCUCAGGAAUCUGAGUAUGCGCUGCCAUGGAGAAGUGAAGGCCGUAUGGCAG